AGUGAACGCUGGCGGUAGGCCUAACACAUGCAAGUCGAACGGCAGCACAGUAAGAGCUUGCUCUUACGGGUGGCGAGUGGCGGACGGGUGAGGAAUACAUCGGAAUCUACUUUUUCGUGGGGGAUAACGUAGGGAAAGUUACGCUAAUACCGCAUACGACCUACGGGUGAAAGCAGGGGAUCUUCGGACCUUGCGCGAUUGAAUGAGCCGAUGUCGGAUUAGCUAGUUGGCGGGGUAAAGGCCCACCAAGGCGACGAUCCGUAGCUGGUCUGAGAGGAUGAUCAGCCACACUGGAACUGAGACACGGUCCAGACUCCUACGGGAGGCAGCAGUGGGGAAUAUUGGACAAUGGGCGCAAGCCUGAUCCAGCCACACCGCGUGAGUGAUGAAGGCCUUCGGAUUGUAAAGCCCUUUUAUUAGGAAAGAAAAGCAGCAGAUUAAUACCCGGCUGUUCUGACGGUACCCAAAGAAUAAGCACCGGCUAACUUCGUG
rnacentral:rRNA from 1 species